rnacentral:lncRNA from 1 species
UCAGCGAUAUUAAUGAGGCUAAAGUACAAUUACAAUUCCAGAAAGUAAAUGCAACGACUCGAAAGGUAAAAACCCAAAUGAAAAUGCAUUCCAGAAAGUAAAUGCAACGACUCAAAAGGUAAAAGCCCAAAUGAAAAUGCAGAAAUAUUGAAAGUAAGAACUAGGAUUGAUUGAAGAAGGAGAUGAAGCAUGAUCUAGGAUUGACUGAAGAAGGAGAUGAAGCAUGAUCAUAAUACGUAUAAAUUAUUCUUACUUUUGUGAAGCUCUUCUUCUUUUAUUUCUCAGCCCAACAGUUUGUGUGACAUCCCUAUUGGUAUUGACCCUAGGCAGAUUUGUAAAUAAAUGCUCAAAGAUCGUUUCACUGAUUUUUUGUCAAACUUGUAAUAUAAAUACGGAAAAAGGUCAGAACUAC